rnacentral:lncRNA from 1 species
UAGCAAAGUUUUCUUUGUGGUUUGCAUAGGGCUAUCAAUAUUAGACCUGCAUCUACCAGACCUCAAGGUCUUAGACAACAACAGCUGGCUGAUGGCCACCUCAGACCACGCAGAAAAGGUCUGGCAAGGCAGCUUCUGCUCCUGGGGAAAUUACAGAACGCACACUGCUCAGUGUAGUGUGGAAUUCAUCUUUCCCCCCAGGAUCCAAAUCAGGAUACCACCUUAAAUUUAACAUAAUGCCCUUAAAAAUGAAAAAGUCCGCAAGCCAUGUUAUCAUCUGGAUUUCAACAAAGAAAAGUGACUCCAGCAUGCAGAGUGGGAUCAACUUGCUCUACCAACUCUGGAUCUUCUGUCAUCUGGAAAUGACGGGGAUCUUGUACUCACGGGCAAUGCCUGCCUACUAUUAUCUUUGGAAUCAGCAUGUGAGGCCCCCUACAGUGCCUCAUCCAUCUGACUCAUGCCGAAGAUGGUCCAGGCGUCACCUGAGCUAUGCUACCUUUGGUAAAGACCCAUGCAGGCUUCUCUUUGCCCUGGAGUCACACUUUCUCCCCUAUUGACACCCCAGCCAGGAUCACACCAAUACCUCCAACAUCAAUCAGAAGUCAACAAGAAUGGAAAACAGACUAAAGUAACUUCUAUGGACAGGGCUGGGUCUAU